ensembl:lncRNA
ACCCUGGAAUGAGUCGGUGUGUCCAAACUUUUGACUGGUACUGUACGUGCAUUUCUCUACCCUUCCAAUUGAUUUAAGGCAAUCGUCGUUAUUUCCCGAUAGCUGAGUAGUCACCCAGUUGACAGAACAGGUUUGUUUGAUCACGGUGUUUACCUGGAUGGGGCAAUCACACCUCCACCCACUAAAUGUCAACGAUGGAAACCAAACACACUUUGGACUGCGUGAUCGACAGAGGACAUUCAGCCUGAGCCUGUUGUGUAUUCACUAGGAACCAAACAGAAGUAAACCGGACCAAACGGGACCAAACUGGACCAAACGGGACCAAACUGGACCAAACGGGACCAAACAGCAGUGGUUUAUAGUACAUACGUAAUUUACUUUUAAAGUACUACUUUAGUGGUGUUUUUGGGUAUCUGUACUUUACUUUACUAUUUAACAUUUUUGACAACUUUUACUUUUAAAUCCACUACAUUCGUAAACAAAAUAAUGUACUUUUUAUUCCACACAUUUUCCCUGACACCUAAAAGUACUCGUUACAUUUAGAACACUCAGCGAGGACAGAAUUACGGCACCUGUCAGGAUAACACUUGGUCGUCCCUACUGCCUCUGAUCUGGGGGACUCACGAAACACAACUACUGUGUUUGUAAAUGAUGUCUGAGUUUUGGAGUGUGGCCCCUGUCAGUCCGUAGUUAAAAAUAAUACGAAAAUAGUGCCGUCUGGUUUGCUUAAUAUCAGGAGUUUGAUGAAUAGCUUUUACUUUGUACUUUUACUCAAGUAUGACGAUUGAUUACUUUUUCUACCACUUUACCACUGUAGAUUUAAAGCCAAGUAGUAUUUUCUCAAGUAGUAUUUUACUGGUUGACUUUUACUUGAGUCAUCUUCUAUUAAGGUGUCUUUACUUUUACUCAAGUAUGACAAUUGAGUACUUUUUCCACCACUGCCAAACGGGACCAAACAGGACCAAGUGGGACAAAACGGGGCCAAGUGGGACCAAGUGGGACCAAACAGGACCAAACAGGACCAAGUGGGACCAAACGGGGCCAAGUGGGACCAAACGGGGCCAAGUGGGACCAAACAGGACCAAGUGGGACAAAACGGGGCCAAGUGGGACCAAGUGGGACAAAACAGGACCAAACAGGACCAAGUGGGACAAAACGGGGCCAAGUGGGACCAAACGGGGCCAAGUGGGACCAAACGGGGCCAAGUGGGACCAAACAGGACCAAGUGGGACCAAACGGGGCCAAGUGGGACCAAACGGGACCAAACGGGGCCAAGUGGGACCAAACGGGCCAAACGGGAACAAGUGGGACCAAACGGGGCCAAGUGGGACCAAACGGGCCCAAGUGGGACCAAACGGGCCAAACGGGACCAAGUGGGACCAAACGUGGCCAAGUGGGACCAAACGGGCCCAAGUGGGACCAAACGGGGCCAAGUGGGACCAAACGGGGCCAAACGGGGCCAAGUGGGACCAAACGGGGCCAAGUGGGACCAAACGGGGACAAACGGGGCCAAGUGGGACCAAACAAGGAGAGACCUACAUGACCUACAUUUGUCUAAUAAGAAACUCUUGUUUUUGUUGCAAAAUGUUUUCAGUUGGGAAGCGUUUUGUUAUGAUUUUAUACAGUGUGCACUAAUGACUACACCCCAGGACUGCCCAGGUAGAAUUGGUUCAUGCUCUUUCUGAUUAAAAGGAGGAAACACGUUGUUUUUGGACUUGUGUUGAAAGACUGCAGUUGGAUUUGGUCAUAGUUAUCAUUCUGCCAGUAAAAUGGCAUCAAAGAAAUGGUUGAGUAAGCAGGUAUUACCUCCGCAACUUGAUCAAUCAUUCACAAAACACUGUCCUGUUGUCCAUUAUCCAAGAGUUCCAACUAACAUAUUGGUCUUCAGGUAAAUCGCCUGUCUGUCUGUCUGUCUGUCUGUCUGUCUGUCUGUCUGUCUGUCUGUCUGUCUGUCUGUCUGUCUGUCUGUCUGUCUGUCUGUCUGUCUGUCUGUCUGUCUGUCUGUCUGUCUGUCUGUCUGUCUGUCUGUCCAUCUGUCUGUUUGUCUGUCUGUCUCCGUCUGUCUGUCCAUCUGUCUGUUUGUCUGUCUGUCCAUCCGUCUGUCUGUCCAUCCGUUUGUAUGUCUGUCCAUCUGUCUGUUUGUCUGUCUGUCCAUCCGUCUGUCUGUCCAUCCGUUGUCUGUCUGUCUGUCCAUCUGUCUGUCUGUCUGUCUGUCUGUCCAUCCAUCCAUCUGUCUGUCCUUCCAUCCAUAUGCCUCUGUCUGUCUGUCUGUCUGUCUGUCCAUCCAUCCAUAUGCCUGUCUGUCUGUCUGUCUGUCUGUCUGUCUGUCUGUCUGUCUGUCUGUCUGUCUCCGUCUGUCUGUCCAUCCAUCCGUCUGUCUGUCUGUCUGUCUGACUGUCUGUCUGUCUGUCUGUCUGUCCGUUUGUAUGUCUGUCCAUCUGUCUGUUUGUCUGUCUGUCCAUCCGUCUGUCUGUCUGUCUGUAUGCCUGUCUGUCUGUCUGUCUGUCUGUCUGUCUGUCUGUCUGUCUGUCUGUCUGUCUGUCUGUCUGUCUGUCUG